rnacentral:rRNA from 1 species
GGAGUAUGAACCGUGUCUCAGUUCCAUUGUGGCCGUUCAUCCUCUCAGACCGGCUACUGAUCGUCGCCUUGGUAAGCCUUUACCCCACCAACUAGCUAAUCAGACGCAGACUCCUCCUCUUCCGAGUUGCCUCUUUAUCAUCAGAAACAUGCGUUCCCGAUGUGCAUUCGGAAUUAGCAAUCCUUUCGGACUGUUGUGCCCAAGAAGAGGGCAGAUUAUCUGCGCAUUACUCACCCGUUCGCCACUAAGCACCGAAGUGCUCCGUACGACUUGCAUGUGUUAGGCACGCCGCCAGCGUCGUCCUGAGCCACUGAUCAAACUCU